GAUCCGGCUCAGGAUGAACGCUAGCUACAGGCUUAACACAUGCAAGUCGAGGGGCAGCAUGAACUUAGCUUGCUAAGUUUGAUGGCGACCGGCGCACGGGUGAAUAACGCGUAUCCAACCUACCCUUGUCCAUCGGAUAACCCGUCGAAAGGCGGCCUAACACGAUAUGCGGUUCACCGCAGGCAUCUAACGUGAACGAAAUGUGAAGGAGAAGGAUGGGGAUGCGUCUGAUUAG
rnacentral:rRNA from 1 species